UACGAAGGGGGCGAGCGUUGUUCGGAAUUACUGGGCGUAAAGGGCGCGUAGGCGGCCCCUUUUGUCGCGUGUGAAAGCCCCCGGCUCAACUGGGGAGGGUCACGCGAUACUGAUCGACUGGAAGGCAGGAGAGGGUAGUGGAAUUCCCGGUGUAGUGGUGAAAUGCGUAGAUAUCGGGAGGAACACCAGUGGCGAAGGCGACUACCUGGCCUGUUCUUGACGCUGAGGCGCGAAAGCUAGGGGAGCAAACGGG
rnacentral:rRNA from 1 species